rnacentral:lncRNA from 1 species
UGCACAGGGGCUUUCAAGAAUCGAUAAAAUAAAGUAUUUUAAGUUCAUGAUACAAAAAGUGUGGGAAUAUAUAGUAAUUCCUCGUAUAUCAAUAUUAAAGAUGACUAACUCUUCGAUGAAGGAAAGGCAUUACCACCGAUAAAGAUGACAUUCAUUAGAUAACCGGAAGUGAGUCUGAUGUGACUGGAGACAUUAUCGUUGAUGGAAUAUUCGUUUUCACCUACAUUAGGCUAAAAUGUUGGUUUAACAAAAAAAUGUCGUCUUCAGACUAAUUUAAAGAUUUAGUACUACGCGCCAGCUUGUGGACAAGUAAAUGUAAUGUAGGCUAUACACAGCAAACGUGAACGCACAUACACAUGUACAUAUGCAAGAAUCCAACAACCAGUUCAUGUUAAUCUGGUUAAUCUAAUCCAGCCA